rnacentral:rRNA from 1 species
CAGUAGCCGCGGUAAUACGUAGGGUGCAAGCGUUAAUCGGAAUUACUGGGCGUAAAGCGUGCGCAGGCGGUUAUAUAAGACAGAUGUGAAAUCCCCGGGCUCAACCUGGAAACUGCAUUUGUGACUGUAUAGCUAGAGUACGGCAGAGGGGGAUGGAAUUCCGCGUGUAGCAGUGAAAUGCGUAGAUAUGCGGAGGAACACCGAUGGCGAAGGCAAUCCCCUGGGCCUGUACUGACGCUCAUGCACGAAAGCGUGGGGAGCAAACAGGAUUAGAUACCCCCGUAGUCCCUGUCUCUUAUAC